UGCAGGUGUUGGCAGUGACAGAUGCACUAAAGUGCUACAUGCACUUUAGCCAGGAGAAAUGACACAGCAGAAGUUGGAUGUUAGAGAUGUUUCUAAAAACCAAGCUAAGCUCAUGGUGCUGGUGCAGCCAUUGUGCUAUGGAUUGAAAUGACCUCUGGAAACCCACUCAGAAUGUCUUGGCCAGUCAAGGUUUAUAAUGAAAAUAUUGAAUAGAACACACCCAUGAAUCAGCCUCUGUAACUUUGGGUGAGAAGUUUCCUCAGAGUUCUUCAGCAGUCAAAACUUUUUGACCUUUUAACCUAAGAUGAGCCAGUGCUAAAGAAACCAGCAGAAAGCAGUAAGCUGACAUGUAAAAGCAGCACGAUCUCUACCCCGUGUACAGAGAACAUCCAUCAAAAUGAAUGCAAUGGCCUUGACAGGAAGAAAGGCCAGCUGCAGCCUGGCAUGUCCAGCCUUCCUGCUCGUGUCAGCUGCAUACCAAAAUGCAGCAUAUGUAUGGGAUAUCUUGGUUGCAGUAUUCUUCAUUACUUGGAAAGAUUUUUUGGUGCCAGAAGUCUGAGAACAUGAUGGGACUGACAGAGAUAAGAACUGAAGCCUCAACCAGCUCCAAAAGCAGGAGAUUUCUGUGCACAUACAAAAGUCCUAAUGAGAGCAGCUUGGCAGGACACAAUCUCCAUCUGAACGCUGAAAACCAUACAGCUUUACAAAGCAGGCCUGCACCAAAUCAAAGAGCACUUGAAGCAUUUCUAUUUGUGCACAUUUAACUGAAACUUAUUUUUAUUUACUGUUGUAUCUAGACCAAGCAUGAAAGAAGCAAGCUUGUAU